rnacentral:rRNA from 1 species
CCUACGGGGGGCUGCAGUGGAGAAUAUUGGACAAUGGGGGCAACCCUGAUCCAGCCAUGCCGCGUGUGUGAAGAAGGCCCUCGGGUUGUAAAGCACUUUCAGUGAGGAAGAACGCCUGGUGGUUAAUACCCAUCAGGAAAGACAUCACUCACAGAAGAAGCACCGGCUAACUCCGUGCCAGCAGCCGCGGUAAUACGGAGGGUGCGAGCGUUAAUCGGAAUUACUGGGCGUAAAGCGCGCGUAGGUGGCUUGAUAAGCCGGUUGUGAAAGCCCCGGGCUCAACCUGGGAACGGCAUCCGGAACUGUCAAGCUAGAGUGCAGGAGAGGAAGGUAGAAUUCCCGGUGUAGCGGUGAAAUGCGUAGAGAUCGGGAGGAAUACCAGUGGCGAAGGCGGCCUUCUGGACUGACACUGACACUGAGGUGCGAAAGCGUGGGUAGCAAACAGGAUUAGAUACCCGGGUAGUC